GUUAGGAAUAUUGGACAAUGGGCGAAAGCCUGAUCCAGCCAUGCCGCGUGCAGGAUGAAGGCCUUCGGGUUGUAAACUGCUUUUGUACGGAACGAAAAGACUCCUUCUAAUAAAGGGGGUCCAUGACGGUACCGUAAGAAUAAGCACCGGCUAACUACGUGCCAGCAGCCGCGGUAAUACGUAGGGUGCAAGCGUUAAUCGGAAUUACUGGGCGUAAAGCGUGCGCAGGCGGUUAUAUAAGACAGAUGUGAAAUCCCCGGGCUCAACCUGGGAACUGCAUUUGUGACUGUAUAGCUAGAGUACGGUAGAGGGGGAUGGAAUUCCGCGUGUAGCAGUGAAAUGCGUAGAUAUGCGGAGGAACACCGAUGGCGAAGGCAAUCCCCUGGACCUGUACUGACGCUCAUGCACGAAAGCGUGGGGAGCAAACAGGAUUAGAAACCCCGGUAGUCC
rnacentral:rRNA from 1 species